UUAAGCGACUAAGCGUACACGGUGGAUGCCCUGGCAGUCAGAGGCGAUGAAGGACGUGCUAAUCUGCGAUAAGCGUCGGUAAGGUGAUAUGAACCGUUAUAACCGGCGAUUUCCGAAUGGGGAAACCCAGUGUGUUUCGACACACUAUCAUUAACUGAAUCCAUAGGUUAAUGAGGCGAACCGGGGGAACUGAAACAUCUAAGUACCCCGAGGAAAAGAAAUCAACCGAGAUUCCCCCAGUAGCGGCGAGCGAACGGGGAGCAGCCCAGAGCCUGAAUCAGUGUGUGUGUUAGUGGAAGCGUCUGGAAAGGCGCGCGAUACAGGGUGACAGCCCCGUACACAAAAAUGCACAUGCUGUGAGCUCGAUGAGUAGGGCGGGACACGUGGUAUCCUGUCUGAAUAUGGGGGGACCAUCCUCCAAGGCUAAAUACUCCUGACUGACCGAUAGUGAACCAGUACCGUGAGGGAAAGGCGAAAAGAACCCCGGCGAGGGGAGUGAAAAAGAACCUGAAACCGUGUACGUACAAGCAGUGGGAGCACGCUUAGGCGUGUGACUGCGUACCUUUUGUAUAAUGGGUCAGCGACUUAUAUUCUGUAGCAAGGUUAACCGAAUAGGGGAGCCGAAGGGAAACCGAGUCUUAACUGGGCGUUAAGUUGCAGGGUAUAGACCCGAAACCCGGUGAUCUAGCCAUGGGCAGGUUGAAGGUUGGGUAACACUAACUGGAGGACCGAACCGACUAAUGUUGAAAAAUUAGCGGAUGACUUGUGGCUGGGGGUGAAAGGCCAAUCAAACCGGGAGAUAGCUGGUUCUCCCCGAAAGCUAUUUAGGUAGCGCCUCGUGAAUUCAUCUCCGGGGGUAGAGCACUGUUUCGGCAAGGGGGUCAUCCCGACUUACCAACCCGAUGCAAACUGCGAAUACCGGAGAAUGUUAUCACGGGAGACACACGGCGGGUGCUAACGUCCGUCGUGAAGAGGGAAACAACCCAGACCGCCAGCUAAGGUCCCAAAGUCAUGGUUAAGUGGGAAACGAUGUGGGAAGGCCCAGACAGCCAGGAUGUUGGCUUAGAAGCAGCCAUCAUUUAAAGAAAGCGUAAUAGCUCACUGGUCGAGUCGGCCUGCGCGGAAGAUGUAACGGGGCUAAACCAUGCACCGAAGCUGCGGCAGCGACGCUUAUGCGUUGUUGGGUAGGGGAGCGUUCUGUAAGCCUGCGAAGGUGUGCUGUGAGGCAUGCUGGAGGUAUCAGAAGUGCGAAUGCUGACAUAAGUAACGAUAAAGCGGGUGAAAAGCCCGCUCGCCGGAAGACCAAGGGUUCCUGUCCAACGUUAAUCGGGGCAGGGUGAGUCGACCCCUAAGGCGAGGCCGAAAGGCGUAGUCGAUGGGAAACAGGUUAAUAUUCCUGUACUUGGUGUUACUGCGAAGGGGGGACGGAGAAGGCUAUGUUGGCCGGGCGACGGUUGUCCCGGUUUAAGCGUGUAGGCUGGUUUUCCAGGCAAAUCCGGAAAAUCAAGGCUGAGGCGUGAUGACGAGGCACUACGGUGCUGAAGCAACAAAUGCCCUGCUUCCAGGAAAAGCCUCUAAGCAUCAGGUAACAUCAAAUCGUACCCCAAACCGACACAGGUGGUCAGGUAGAGAAUACCAAGGCGCUUGAGAGAACUCGGGUGAAGGAACUAGGCAAAAUGGUGCCGUAACUUCGGGAGAAGGCACGCUGAUAUGUAGGUGAAGUCCCUCGCGGAUGGAGCUGAAAUCAGUCGAAGAUACCAGCUGGCUGCAACUGUUUAUUAAAAACACAGCACUGUGCAAACACGAAAGUGGACGUAUACGGUGUGACGCCUGCCCGGUGCCGGAAGGUUAAUUGAUGGGGUCAGCGCAAGCGAAGCUCUUGAUCGAAGCCCCGGUAAACGGCGGCCGUAACUAUAACGGUCCUAAGGUAGCGAAAUUCCUUGUCGGGUAAGUUCCGACCUGCACGAAUGGCGUAAUGAUGGCCAGGCUGUCUCCACCCGAGACUCAGUGAAAUUGAACUCGCUGUGAAGAUGCAGUGUACCCGCGGCAAGACGGAAAGACCCCGUGAACCUUUACUAUAGCUUGACACUGAACAUUGAGCCUUGAUGUGUAGGAUAGGUGGGAGGCUUUGAAGUGUGGACGCCAGUCUGCAUGGAGCCGACCUUGAAAUACCACCCUUUAAUGUUUGAUGUUCUAACGUUGACCCGUGAUCCGGGUUGCGGACAGUGUCUGGUGGGUAGUUUGACUGGGGCGGUCUCCUCCUAAAGAGUAACGGAGGAGCACGAAGGUUGGCUAAUCCUGGUCGGACAUCAGGAGGUUAGUGCAAUGGCAUAAGCCAGCUUGACUGCGAGCGUGACGGCGCGAGCAGGUGCGAAAGCAGGUCAUAGUGAUCCGGUGGUUCUAAAUGGAAGGGCCAUCGCUCAACGGAUAAAAGGUACUCCGGGGAUAACAGGCUGAUACCGCCCAAGAGUUCAUAUCGACGGCGGUGUUUGGCACCUCGAUGUCGGCUCAUCACAUCCUGGGGCUGAAGUAGGUCCCAAGGGUAUGGCUGUUCGCCAUUUAAAGUGGUACGCGAGCUGGGUUUAGAACGUCGUGAGACAGUUCGGUCCCUAUCUGCCGUGGGCGCUGGAGAACUGAGGGGGGCUGCUCCUAGUACGAGAGGACCGGAGUGGACGCAUCACUGGUGUUCGGGUUGUCAUGCCAAUGGCACUGCCCGGUAGCUAAAUGCGGAAGAGAUAAGUGCUGAAAGCAUCUAAGCACGAAACUUGCCCCGAGAUGAGUUCUCCCUGACUCCUUGAGAGUCCUGAAGGAACGUUGAAGACGACGACGUUGAUAGGCCGGGUGUGUAAGCGCAGCGAUGCGUUGAGCUAACCGGUACUAAUGAACCGUGAGGCUUAACCU
rnacentral:rRNA from 1 species